UACUAACAACAAUAAGUUCGAAAACAUUAAUGGAAUCAUUAGACAAUUAAAGAAAACUGUUUGAAACAUAAUAAAUUCCCAAAGUGAUACAAAUCAGCCUAAAACCAGGGUGUCACUGAGUAUAUGAUCGUCUAGAUAAGUGAAUAUAGUCUACUACAGCAUCUGAAGAUAUUAACUGAAAGUAUGACAAAGACAAAGAAGUAGGGUCAAGUCCAGUGAACGCCAUGCAGCUACCUCGACAAUAUCCAACUCUGGAACCCGGAUUAACAAUCGCCGCCACGACCGGUAUCGCCUGGAUAUGCACACGAGGUUUAGGAGUAACGUGGUUGCGCCAACUCAGUAAGUAACAAGUGCAAACUUGGGAUUGAUAGGUAGUGAUAAACUCAAUCUCAACAGGUAAAAACAGAAGUAAAUGUGCAGAAAUGUAGGCAUGCUUUCAAGUCAAGUAUACAGCUCAAGCAGUAAAUUAAAUAUAUGUCUGAACGGUGUAAGGUAUACACAUCAUCUUAUCUCUACAUGCCAAUGCACAUAAUGAAUGAAAUGCACCAUGUGCUUCCACUCUCAAGUUCUCAACCACUCGGUACUGUAUAUGGCUAUACGGCCCAGGGAAAUCCAUCUCGAUAACAUGUACAACACUAACGGUAUGUCAUCCAGUACUGGGGACAAGGGCAAUCCAACCCUGUGUAGAAAUCCAUCUCUAGGUAUCAAGUACUUCGGACAAAUCAAUGUCCAGGGAAAUCCAUCCCUCAAUAAUAUCAUCCGUGCUCACUGGUGUGUGUUACAGACUCCAGAGGGGCUCCUGCAGCGUGCAGUCAGAUCCUAUACUGCCACUCAUAGCUAGGCCCUCGACCUCACUCAGUCAUCAAACUCUACAGUCUCACCACAGGUUCACAAUGUCAUGAAAACAACCCAGAACGAUAAUAUGAUGAAUCAAUAAAUAACUAAGACUAAGAUAUGAUAUAAAAAUGCAUGAUUAUGAUUGAGUAUGGAAUAUUAUAUGGAAACUAGUGAGAUGACAGCAAUAAACAAUCGCUAAAGGUCCAAUUAAUAUUGGUGCAACGCCUAAACAUGGUAUCUAGCAUGAUUUAUAGAUCAAGUACUCUAUCAUACGAUGAAAACAUGGAUACCAACAAGAAAAAGUCACUAAACGGUGCCAUGGAGUCACCUAGGUCACAAUUCUCACGGUGCACGCCCGCAUGCAGGUCACUUCGCACGAGUAUCACCUCAAUACUAAUCACAUAAAACAUAGUUCAGGGUAUCGAACCCUCAAAACCAUGUUUUGAAAGUGUUACAUACCUCAAACCAAGCCAAAAUCCUACUUUGCGAUGUCUUUACCUCUCAGAUCAACCUGCAAAGUCAUGAAUCUAGCCACAAGCAAUAAAUACGAUCAAUAUAGGCUAAAGGAACCAAUUCCACAAGAAAAAUACCAAAUUUCCCCAACAAUCCGAAAUUGGCCCAAACUCGGGCCCCGGACCCAUGUCUUAGAAUCUGACAAAAGUCACAGAACUCGGAAGCCAAUUCACUCACGAGUCUAGCCAAAUCUGACCUUAUUUGGUAACUCAAAUCCCAAAAAUCCACUCUCCAACUCUUAAGUCCUAAACCCCCAAAUUUCUUGCUAAACUCCCUAAUAAGAUGAUGAAUAAAACCAUGGAUUCAUGAAAUUUAUACCAUUAUGGGUUAGAAUCACUUACCCCAACGUUUCUCCUUGAAAACCUUCGAAGAAUUGCUCUAUCUCGAGUUUCUCAAAUCCCUCAAGCUAGAAUUUUCUAUCCAGGCAAAAGUCGCACCUCCAGUCCUAGUUCCGCACCUACAAAAUCACAUAUGUAAACAGGGCUCCGCUUCUACAGAAAUUCAUUAAAAGACUGGCUCUGCUCCUUUGAUCACCUGACUGCAUCUGCGAUCAUUUCAGAUGUGGGAACCAAGCUGCACCUGCGAUCUAACUGCGCAUCUGUGCCUCUCAACCUGCUUCUGUGACCACCACAGAUGGGGGAUUUACAUUGCACUUGCGUUCUCAUCCAAGGAUUUCCUUAGCCGCACCUCCUACACUUCCUUAGCUCCUCCGGCCUCGCACCUUCGGUUCCCACUCCACAAGUGUAGAAACAGCAGUAGCAAUAUCUUCAACUACAUUUUCCAGGAUUCCAUUAGGACCCCCGAUAUAAAAAAUUUCCAAUACUGGCCAAGAUCGCCAAAAUUUUAACAUACGCCAAUUCAAACCUAAUUCUACCACGGGUAUCCAAAUCAUAUUUCAAAAAGCUCUCAUAAGUCCAAUAUCACCCAAUGAAGCUAACGAAACCAUCAAAAUUCAAAUCCGAGGUCAUUUACAUAUAAGUCAACUUUCGGUCAGCUUUUCCAACUUAAGCUUCCAAUUAAGAGACUAUGUGUCUCAGUUCACUCCGAGCCCGAACCAACUAACCUGGUAGAUCAUAAUAUAGAUGAAGAACACAAAAGAAGCAGGAAAUAGGGAACUGGGCUAUAACUCUCAAAAUGACCAAUCGUGUCGUUAUAUCCUCCCCCUCUUAAACAAACAUUCGUCCUCGAACGGAUUUAGAAACAUACUUGAACCCUCAAAGAGGUGUGGUUAUCUGCUCCGUAUCUCCCGCUCGGUCUCCUAAUAGCCUCCUGCACGGCCUAACCUCUCCACUGCACCUUCACUGAAGUUAUAUCUUUUUACCUUAAUUUUUGAACCUGAUGUGCCAAAAUAGCUACCGGCUCCACAUCAUAGGUCAAUUCACUAUCCAACUGAACCGUGCUGAAAGCCAGAACAUGAGAUGGAUCAUCGAUAUAGGUGUGAAGUAUAGAAACAUGAAAUACUGGAUGCACACUCAAUAAGCUAGUGUCAAAGAAAGUUCAUAUGCCACCUCCCAAUCCUCUGAAACACUUCAAACGGAGCAAUAAACCUAGGGCUCAACUUGCCUUUCUUUCCAAAUCUCAUAACACCCUUUAUGGCGAAACCUUCAGCAAGACCUUCUCUCCAACCAUGUAAGACACAUCACAGACCUUUCUAUCAGUAUAACUCUUUUGUCUCGAUUGCAUCGUGUGAAGCUGCUGUUGAGUCAAUUUCACCUUUUCCAAUGCAUCCUAAGCCAAGUCUUCACCCAAAAGCCCAGCCUCAACCGGAAUGAACAAACCCACUGGAGAUCUACACCGCCUCCCAUAUAAAGCCUCAUAUGGAGAAAUCUGAACACUCGACUGAUAAUUGUUGUUGUAAACAAACUCCACGAGUGGAAGAAACUAGUCCCAUGAAUCCCCUAAAUUAAUAACACAAACGCAUAGCAUGUAUUCCAAUAUCUGAAUAGUGCGCUGGGACUGUUCGUUUGUCUGCAUGUGAAAUGUUGUGCUCAACCCAACCUGAGUGCCCAUCUCUCACUACACGGCCCUCCGAAAUGAAGGAAAUUGGAACCCCAUUAAGCGAAUAAUCUCUCUGAUGUAAAUAUCAGCUAACCACUCCAAAGAAUAAGUAGUACUCACGGGAAUGAAGUGCGCGGACUUGGUCAUCCAAUCCACAAUCAUCCAAAUAGCAUCAAACUUCCUCGAAGUUCGUGGGGGCCUAACUACGAGAUCUAUGGCGAUCCACUCCCACUUCCACUCUGGAAUAUCUAUCUUCUGAAGCAAGCCACCCGGACUCAAAUGCUCAUAUUUUACCUGCUGACAGUUCAGACAUCGAGCUACAAACCCAACUAUAUCUUUCUUCAUUCUCCUCCACCAAUACUAUUGUCUCGAAUCCUGAUACAUCUUCGCGGCACCCGGAUGGGUGAAAUACCGCGAAUUAUGGGCCUCCUCAAGAAUCAACUCCCGUAGCCCAUCCACAUUGGGUACACAUAUCCGGCCCUGCAUCCUUAAUACCCUAUCAUCACGAAUAGUCACAUCUCUGGCAUCACCGUGCUAAACCUUUUCCUUGAGGACAAGCAAAUGAGGAUCAUCAUACUAGUGCUCUUCGAUGCGAUCGAAUAAAGAAGAACGAGAAACCACAAAAGAUAGGACCCGAUUGGGCUCCGAGAUAUCCAAUAUCACAAACCGAUUGGCUAAGGCUUGAACAUCAACUGCAAGGGGUCUCUCGCCAGUAGGAAGGAAUGCAAGACUACCCAUACUCACUGCCUUUCUACUCAAGGCAUCGGCCACCACAUUAGUUUUUCCUAGAUGGUAACAAAUGGUAAUAACAUAGUCCUUUUGCUGUUCAAACCAUCUCCGUUUCCUCAAAUUGAGAUCCUUUUGCUUGAACAAGUGCUGGAGGCUACGAUGAUCAAUAAACACCUCACAAGACACACAAUAGUGAUAGUUCCUCCAAAUCUUCAACGCGUGAACAAUGGAUGCCCACUCCAAAUCAUGAGCAAGAUACUUCUUCUCACGGGGCUUCAAUUGACGUGAAACAUACGCAAUAACUCUACCCUCUUAUAACAAAACACACCCAACGCCAAUCAGAGAAGCAUAUUAAUAUACAAUAUAAGAACUAGAAGCUGAUGGAAGAACUAACACUGGAGUUGUGGUCAAGGUAGUCUGAAGCUUCUGAAAGCUCGCCUCACACUCAUCCAACCAACUAAAAGGAGCACUCUUUUGGGUCAAUUUGGUCAAGGGCGAUGCAGUAGACAAAAAACCCUGAACGAACCGAUGGUAGUAACCAUCAAAACCAAGUAAGCUCUGAAUCUCUAUGGCUAAGAACGAUCUGGGCUAACUCUGAACCGCCUCUAUCUUCUUCGGAUCAACAUGAAUACCAUCGCUGGACACGAAAUGUCCCAAGAACGCCACUAAACUAAGCCAACACUCACACUUGGAGAACUUGGCAUAAUGCUUCUCCUCCCUCAGUGCUGCAAUACAACCUGUCACACAUCCCUUUUUACUACAUCCCCGGAAAGGGGUAUAUAAGGUAGUUGUUCCAAUUAAAGAAAAAUCGAAAUGGGAUUAUUUGUUUAUUUAUAAUUCAGAGUCGCCACUUGGGAUAAUUGAUGGUGUCCCAAGUCACCGGUUCAAAUCUCGAAUCGAGAAAAAGAUUAAAACUAUUUUAUAGUUCGCGAACCAGAAAUCAGGGUAAGGAAUUUUGUUAACCCGAGGGAAGGUGUUAGGCAUUCCCGAGUUCCGUGGUUCUAGCACAAUCACUCAACUAUUAUAAUUGGCCUAUUUUAUGACUUUAGAACAUUUUGGACCUAUGUGCAUUUAAAUUUUAAACCGCUUUUAUUCAAUUAAUUAAAGGAAGAUUGCAGUAUCAUUUAAAAUAUGUUUCGAACCACGUCACAUAAAUGCACCCGCAGUCCAUAGCCCACUUUAUCUAACGUUGAGAUUUGGAUUUGGGAUACAUAAGUGUGCACCCGAAUUCAAGAAGUUACAUUAUUAAAUAACACGCCUAAAAGAAACUACGAGUUGUUAACUUUGUGAGGGCCAUGGAAAUUUGCUAAAUGGAAUGCCUCAAGUUCUAGGAUUUGAACAAAUUAAUUAAAUGAGGUCCAUGCAAUUGUCAUUUUUGUUUGGCAUGAUGCACCCCAAUUUCGGAGGGCCACAAUUAUUUGUAUUAUCUAAUAUGGAACACCUCCUCUAAUUAAUGAUCUUAAUUUGCUAGAGCUAAAUGUUAUUGAAAGUUUUACUUGAACUAACUAAGGGAUCACAUGAGAAAAGACUAAUUAUUUUAAGUAAAGGGACCAGCCCAGCACAAAACGGACCAAAGGCCCAACUGAUAAAGCCUAGUUCGAAUAGCCAUUGAUGUAGGCUUAAUAUGUGAAAAUACUAGGCUCCAGAUGAAGCCUAGCUCACCGGUGUGAUAUCCAAAGAGCUAUGGUUGGAUUUGGGCCAAUGAUGACGGCCUAACACAUGCUUCAACAGAUAUAUUUGGGGCCAUGAUGAAUUAUAAUUUAAGAUAAAGUAUAAUUAAAACUUAAAUAAAUUAGUAGGAACACACCACGGGAAUUAGCUAGGAAACUUUAUACAUUAUUCAACAUUAACCACAUUGAGAAUUCAAAACCACAGUUUGACUGCAGAAAAUGCCAAAGUGACAAGGAUCCCUGCUAUUUUUAUCACAUGCUAUCUGAAUUUUGGCAAUCUACCUUGCUGAUGAUAACACUAAGUGCAUUCUACGUUUAACCAUUACUACUCAAAUUACCUACUGGGCUAUAGACCUCCCAACAACAAACUUCAACGAGCAACUCAAGUCGUCAAAUCCAAACCUCAAUGAAGGAUGCAAAAUUUAAAUUACAAUAUAUGUUAACAACAACACCUAUCACAUCCCAUCAUAACAGUCCCAAUACACAAUUACUUAAAGAGGAGUUUAAUUAGUCUAGAAUCAAAACAACAUGCAAAAUUCAAGCACACAUCUCAAAACUCACUGCAUAUCUGUGACUAAAUACAAUAUUGUUCAGAUAAUUAGUCUAAUCUAAGCAGAGAUACAUAUGAGCAGGUCCUUCAUUAUCAACUACAGGGCUAUCCUUUACAUCCCUCAUGUUCUUAAGCGUUGAAACAUACCUGGAAAUGAAAGUCAAAUGGUGUGAGAUUUAGCACUAGCAACAACACUAUCCAACAACAUAAAUGAACCAGGAAAACAACUUUUAAACCAUAAAGUGAUGCUCAACAGUCAAAAGUUCACAACCAAAACUUCAAAAACCAACUGUUAAAACACCAGCCUCGAAUCAACUCAACCCUGAUAGCUCAUAAACCAUUUCAUGAAUUGGAAAUUGAGGAGAUAAAUGAAACAACGACUCCAACAAAUUUCAAAACCAAGACCCCUUCUAUAGCACCCAAAAUAAACCAAGUUUAAUCCAUUUCAACCUCAAGCUAUUCAGAAAAUUAUUUCAGAAAGUGACGGCUUCAGAAAUCAAAAGAAAACAACUCAAUGAAAUAAUAGAAAAUCUUUCGUUUGGUAUUUUUCUAGAUUUCUAUCCCUGAACCCUCUUGCAAGCCAAGAAUAAGGUACCUUUAUAGGCAAGCAAAUAUGGCAGACCCUAGGAUUUUAACUCUG
rnacentral:lncRNA from 1 species